GAUGAACGCUAGCUACAGGCUUAACACAUGCAAGUCGCGGGGCAGCAUGGGGGUUGCUUGCAAUCCCCGAUGGCGACCGGCGCACGGGUGAGUAACGCGUAUCCAACCUGCCCUUCACCACGGGAUAACCCGGCGAAAGUCGGACUAAUACCGUAUGUUGUCCAUUGACGGCAUCCGAUUUGGACGAAAGGUUUGGCGGUGAAGGAUGGGGAUGCGUCCGAUUAGCUGGACGGCGGGGUGACGGCCCACCGUGGCGACGAUCGGUAGGGGUUCUGAGAGGAAGGUCCCCCACACUGGAACUGAGACACGGUCCGGACUCCUACGGGAGGCAGCAGUGAGGAAUAUUGGUCAAUGGGCGUAAGCCUGAACCAGCCAAGUAGCGUGCAGGAUGACGGCCCUAUGGGUUGUAAACUGCUUUUAUGCGGGGAUAAAGUGGCCCACGUGUGGGUUUUUGCAGGUACCGCAUGAAUAAGGACCGGCUAAUUCCGUG
rnacentral:rRNA from 1 species